AGAGUUUGAUCGUGGCUCAGGACGAACGCUGGCGGCGUGCUUAAUACACGCAAGUUGAGCGGAGCCAUUGAUGAAGCUUGCGAUUCAAUGGUCGAGCGGCGGACGGGUGAGUAACGCGUGGGCAACCUGCCCUCUAGUCUGGGAUAACAGUUCGAAAGGGCUGCUAACACCGGAUAAGCUCACGGAGAGGCAUCUUUCAGUGAGAAAAGUUUACGCUAGAGGAUGGGCCCGCGUCCCAUUAGCUAGUUGGUGAGGUAACGGCUCACCAAGGCGCCGAUGGGUAGCCGACCUGAGAGGGUGAUCGGCCACACUGGGACUGAGACACGGCCCAGACUCCUACGGGAGGCAGCAGUAGGGAAUUUUCCGCAAUGGGCGAAAGCCUGACGGAGCAACGCCGCGUGAGGGAAGAAGGUCUUCGGAUCGUAAACCUCUGUCUUCAGGGACGAUGAUGACGGUACCUGAGGAGGAAGCCACGGCUAACUACGUGCCAGCAGCCGCGGUAAUACGUAGGUGGCGAGCGUUGUCCGGAAUUACUGGGCGUAAAGGGCGUGUAGGCGGCCAUUUAAGUCAGAUGUGAAAUACCUUGGCUUAACCAUGGGACUGCAUUUGAGACUGGAUGGCUUGAGGAUCGGAGAGGGCAGUGGAAUUCCCAGUGUAGCGGUGAAAUGCGUAGAUAUUGGGAGGAACACCAGUGGCGAAGGCGACUGCCUGGACGACACCUGACGCUGAGGCGCGAAAGCUAGGGGAGCAAACGGGGAUUAGAUACCCCGGUAGUCCUAGCCGUAAACGAUGGGUACUAGGUGUGGGAGGUAUCGACCCCUUCCGUGCCGCAGUUAACACAAUAAGUACCCCGCCUG
rnacentral:rRNA from 1 species